UACGUAGGUGGCAAGCGUUGUCCGGAUUUACUGGGCGUAAAGAGCGCGCAGGCGGUCGGCCCAAGUCGAGUGUGAAAGCCCCCCGGCUCAACUGGGGAGGGUCAUUCGAUACUGGUCGACUCGAAGGCAGGAGAGGGAAGCGGAAUUCCCGGUGUAGUGGUGAAAUGCGUAGAUAUCGGGAGGAACACCAGUGGCGAAGGCGGCUUGCCUCCGUCG
rnacentral:rRNA from 1 species